rfam:Schistosoma rodhaini strain Burundi genome assembly, scaffold: SROB_scaffold0005403
AUCCGAUUGAUGAGUCCAAAAUAAAACGAAAUGCGCGUCCCGGAU